rnacentral:rRNA from 1 species
UACAGAGGAUGCAAGCGUUAUCCGGAAUGAUUGGGCGUAAAGCGUCUGUAGGUGGCUUUUUAAGUCCGCCGUCAAAUCCCAGGGCUCAACUCUGGACAGGCGGUGGAAACUACCAAGCUGGAGUACGGUAGGGGCAGAGGGAAUUUCCGGUGGAGCGGUGAAAUGCGUAGAGAUCGGAAAGAACACCUGUGGCGAAAGCGGCUCACUGGACCAUAACUGACGCUGAGGCGCGAAAGCUAGGGGAGCAAACAGG